rnacentral:rRNA from 1 species
UACAGAGGGUGCAAGCGUUAAUCGGAAUUACUGGGCGUAAAGCGUGCGUAGACGGUUAUUUAAGUCUGAUGUGAAAGCCCUGGGCUCAACCUGGGAAUUGCAUUGGAUACUGGCAAGCUAGAGUGCGGUAGAGGAUGGCGGAAUUCCCGGUGUAGCAGUGAAAUGCGUAGAUAUGCGGAGGAACACCGAUGGCGAAGGCAAUCCCCUGGACCUGUACUGACGCUCAUGCACGAAAGCGUGGGGAGCAAACAGG